AUCUAAUAGGGCAGGCAAGGUGCCUUUUACGGCUUAAUAGGGAAUUCCGUUUAAAUCGGAAGCGGUCCCGCCGCUGUAAUCGGGGACGAAACCUGCAAAAACCACUACCGGGUCAUAGCCCGGUGGGAAGGUGCGGGGAUUAGGAUGAUCCGAGAGUCAGAAGACCUGCCUUAACACAGUGCCGUAU
rnacentral:ncRNA from 2 species